rnacentral:rRNA from 1 species
AUUUUUUCGUGUUUAUUAAAAAUGAUUUCUGCUCAAUGUUGAAUAAAUGGCCGCGGUAUUUUGACUGUGCAAAGGUAGCAUAAUAAUUAGUCUUGUAAUUUAAGACUGGGAUGAAAGGAUGGACUAGAAAAUGUCUUUCUUAAUUAUUUAUUUUUAAUUUUACUUUUUAGUAAAAAGGCUAAAAUAUUUCUUUUAGACGAGAAGACCCUAUAAAACUUUACAUAAAAGGGUUUAAUAAACUAUGAAUAUGUUUUGCUGGGGCGGCAGAAAGAUAAAACACUUUCAAAUUUUGAAAAUAUUAUUAUUUUGAUACCCAAAACUUUUGAAGAUUAAAUAAGUUACUUUAGGGAUAACAGCGUAAUAUACUUUAAGAGUUCUAAUUGACAAGUAUGUUUGCGACCUCGAUGUUGGAUUAAAUUUCCUUUACUGCGCAAGAGCAAUAAUAGGAGGUCUGUUCGACCUAUAAUAGAUUUCCA